rnacentral:lncRNA from 12 species
AGCUGCACCCAGGAGAUCUUGGAGGAGAUGGUCUGUGGCUUCAACUAUUCCAACUCCCUAGACAAUGAUCAGGUGCACCAGACAAACAGGGAUCAGUGCUGUUCUGAGUGCUGCAAGGAACACCUUAUGUAUCCCUACAGACUGUUUUGGUUGCUAGAUCUGCCAUAACCUGGAACCCCAGAUUAGGGGGAAGGCCUCUGAUGCCUCCUGGCACCAGUAGCUGGCUCUUUUUGUAAUGAUCCACCCAGGAAAUCUUGGAUGAGUUACUUCAAGAGUUCAACUCCUCCAUCUCCCCUGACAAGCACAGGGGCAUCAGGCCACCAACAUCCAUUGAAGGUCUGCGGUGAGAACAGGUCCACUUUCAUGGUCAAACUCAAGACCCAGAGAUGAUCAGAGCAAGCCCAGAACCCAGGCUAGAAACAACUGACACCCUUGGAACCUGCAGGAGAAGGAAUCAACCCUAUCCCUGGGUGAGGCCAGGACCAUGCUGAUGCUCAGAGAAGGGAGAAUGGAUGAUUUUCUACAGUCCUUGGGACCAUCCUUCCAGGACAGAAGCCUUGCAAACAACCCAGUCAUUUCCUGUCUCUACCAGGUGUUCACCACAGCCCAACAGGUCCUGGGCCAGCAAUUCCCCAGUGCCAGCUCCACGGCUCCUUCCAGCAUCUCCUCCAUCAGCUGUUCCAGACCUGGAACAAGAGCCUGUGCCUUCUUCAUGCGUACCAGGUCAUGAGCCGCAGUCAGUUCCACCACCAGCUUUCCUGGGGAUUGUCACUCCUUCCCUAAGCAUAAAGACAGAGUGACCUCCAGCCCCAGAGGCGACCUACCACUGGUGCGUAACCCCCGAGCACCAGCUGCAUGAGGAGAAGCCCGGGCUCAUGGACUUCCCUCCCAAACUGGUGGCAGAGCAGUUGACAUCCAUAGACGUGGUGAGCAGCUGGGCACCCAGGACGGGGCUGGGACAGGCUUGCUUUCUGUUGUCAUCUGCCCCAGACCUGCCUUUCCCUGAUGUGGGCUUGUAUGGUCGGGGUCCAAAUCUCAGCUCCAUCACUUACCAACCACAUCAACCUGUCCAGUUCCUGAAACACUUGCUUUCACUGUCCAGCUGCAGACUAUGGAGAUAGACCCUGAGAAGGACUGAUGCAGAGUUCCUGUGUCGAUUAAAUGAGCCAGAACUGAUAGGCAAAUGGACAGGCCCUGGUCCUUGGGUGGGGGAGGGCAACUCACUGUGUGCGGCCAAGCCCAUGGCUCACCCACGCAUCAGCCUUGGAGGCCGAGCACCCUACACUUAUUAGGCAUCUAAUGUGUGCUGAAGUACAGGGAGGCAGACAAAACUGUGGUUGCACCUCCCUCUGUGAGAAUGUGCUGCUGAAAGGGGAGUAGGGCAAGAGGCAUGAACAGUGGGAGGGGAAGAUGCCCCUUUGAGGAGCCCCCUUGAACUGCCACCUGUAACUUGAAGUUAGUGGGGUGAUCAGGGUACAAAUGGCCUCUCCUCCCCCCUGCCCCGCCCCGGCAGGAUCUGCUCCUCGUUCAUCCUGUACUGGACUCCCUCAGUGAAGAGGAAUGAAGUGCAGUCCAGAGACUCUAACUGGGUUCAGGCCAAUUUCUGCGCUUGCUGAACCCCAGCUCUGACAUGGGACCCCUACGUAGGACAUGAAUCUUGCAUGUGAAAUGGCUGUGUGAAAAGACCCUGAACAGCCAGGGGAAUUUUAAAAAAGAAAACCAUAUCUGGGGGCAUCACAAUGCCAGAUUUCAGAUUGUACUAGAAAGCUGUGGUCAUCAAGACUGUGUGGUACUGGCACA